GACGAACGCUGGCGGCGUGCUUAACACAUGCAAGUCGAACGGAAAGGCCCUGCUUUUGUGGGGUGCUCGAGUGGCGAACGGGUGAGUAACACGUGAGUAACCUGCCCUUGACUUUGGGAUAACUUCAGGAAACUGGGGCUAAUACCGGAUAGGAGCUCCUGCUGCAUGGUGGGGGUUGGAAAGUUUCGGCGGUUGGGGAUGGACUCGCGGCUUAUCAGCUUGUUGGUGGGGUAGUGGCUUACCAAGGCUUUGACGGGUAGCCGGCCUGAGAGGGUGAACGGCCACAUUGGGACUGAGAUACGGCCCAGACUCCUACGGGAGGCAGCAGUGGGGAGUAUUGCACAAUGGGCGGAAGCCUGAUGCAGCAACGCCGCGUGCGGGAUGACAGCCUUCGGGUUGUAAACCGCUUUAGCCUGUGACGAAGCGUGAGUGACGGUAAUGGGUAAAGAAGCACCGGCUAACUACGUG
rnacentral:rRNA from 1 species